rnacentral:rRNA from 1 species
AACGAACGCUGGCGGCAUGCCUAACACAUGCAAGUCGAACGAGACCUUCGGGUCUAGUGGCGCACGGGUGCGUAACGCGUGGGAACCUGCCCUUAGGUUCGGAAUAACUCCCCGAAAGGGGUGCUAAUACCGGAUAAUGUCUUCGGACCAAAGAUUUAUCGCCUUUGGAUGGGCCCGCGUUGGAUUAGCUAGUUGGUAGGGUAAAAGCCUACCAAGGCGACGAUCCAUAGCUGGUCUGAGAGGAUGAUCAGCCACACUGGGACUGAGACACGGCCCAGACUCCUACGGGAGGCAGCAGUGGGGAAUAUUGGACAAGGGGCGAAAGCCUGAUCCAGCAAUGCCGCGUGAGUGAUGAAGGCCUUAGGGUUGUAAAGCUCUUUUACCCGGGAUGAUAAUGACAGUACCAGGAGAAUAAGCUCCGGCUAACUCCGUG